GUGUAAAAAUUACCCAUGAAGCCCUAACGCAAUACUUUUUUCCUGCUUCUUCCUCUCUACAAUGAUCUUUGCUUUGCAGGGGCUAUGGUGAUCUUCUUCUUUGCUUUGGAGCAAUUAAGACGAUGCCAUCGUAAUCACCUUCAGAUUUUUUUUAAUUGAGGUGUUAAUGAAUUAGCUUCGCGCCAGAUGGUCAUGCGGUUGUAUUUGGUGAAGAAGACAUGAGUACCCUAAAGAGAAAUGCGUGGCUGGAUAUGGUGCAGAUCGACUGACUAUGGGAGAAGUUUUGUGGAUCUUGUAAUAUGCAUUGAAGAUUCAAGGGAAUGACAAAAAAACAACACAAGAGAACGAGAUCCCAGAUAAUCAGUUGGAUAACAUUGUGUUACGUACAAACGCGUCUAGUUGAGAGGGCUAAUGUCCAUUUUUUUUGAAAUGUUGUAUGUCCAUUCAUCAGCACAAAUUCACAAUUCAGUAUCAUAAUGCUAUGCAUUUAUCAUUUUUGGCAGUUUAUAAUAUUCUUCAACUAUAAUUUGAAAAACUCUCUAAGAUUCUACAAGCCAUUUACUACCUCCAUGCACAUAUGAGAUGAACACACUCCAUCAAUAUUAAAAUGUAUC